rnacentral:lncRNA from 1 species
AAAUCCCUUACGGUACGAAUAUCCUGAACUCUCAGUUCUUUGUUGCCCGAAUUUAGCCCAUAAGCCAUAUAAGCUUCACAACAUUUACCCAUUAUUUUCUCAGUCUUGGUCAUCGAAACCACAUUAGAUAGAAAUUCGGGUCUCUCCUUGACAACUACGAUCUCCAUCUAAUCACUACUUCGUGAAGUAAUCUAUUUAGACUCAAAUUCUACCUUUGCCUUAUGCUUGGUUAAUCAAUCCAUACUGAGAAUUACAUCAAAUCUAUAAAAAGACAAUUUCAUCAAAUCUACGAGAAAGACAUGUCCCUAAAUUAUUAGGGCGCACCUACAGUAUACUUGAU